rnacentral:rRNA from 1 species
GUUUAGUAUUUGGUCGUAGACCCGAAACCAGGUGAUCUACCCUUGGUCAGGUUGAAGUUCAGGUAACACUGAAUGGAGGACCGAACCGACUUACGUUGAAAAGUGAGCGGAUGAACUGAGGGUAGCGGAGAAAUUCCAAUCGAACCUGGAGAUAGCUGGUUCUCUCCGAAAUAGCUUUAGGGCUAGCCUCAAGUGAUGAUUAUUGGAGGUAGAGCACUGUUUGGACGAGGGGCCCCUCUCGGGUUACCGAAUUCAGACAAACUCCGAAUGCCAAUUAAUUUAACUUGGGAGUCAGAACAUGGGUGAUAAGGUCCGUGUUCGAAAGGGAAACAGCCCAGACCACCAGCUAAGGUCCCAAAAUAUAUGUUAAGUGGAAAAGGAUGUGGCGUUGCCCAGACAACUAGGAUGUUGGCUUAGAAGCAGCCAUCAUUUAAAGAGUGCGUAAUAGCUCACUAGUCGAGUGACACUGCGCCGAAAAUGUACCGGGGCUAAACAUAUUACCGAAGCUGUGGAUUGUCCUUUGGACAAUGGUAGGAGAGCGUUCUAAGGGCGUUGAAGCAUGAUCGUAAGGACAUGUGGAGCGCUUAGAAGUGAGAAUGCCGGUGUGAGUAGCGAAAGACGGGUGAGAAUCCCGUCCACCGAUUGACUAAG